CCUACGGGAGGCAGCAGUGAGGAAUAUUGGUCAAUGGACGGAAGUCUGAACCAGCCAUGCCGCGUGUAGGAAGACGGCUCUCUGAGUUGUAAAUAGCUUUUGCACAAGGGUAAACCUGAAUACGUGUAUUUAGCUGAAAGUACUGUACGAAUAAGGAUCGGCUAACUCCGUGCCAGCAGCCGAGGUAAUACGGAGGAUCCAAGCGUUAUCCGGAUUUAUUGGGCUUAAAGGGUGCGUAGGCGGAUUGAUAAGUUAGAGGUGAAAUGUCCGAGCUUAACUCGGGAACUGCCUCUAAUACUGUUGAGCUAGAGAGUAGUAGCGGGAGGUAGAAUGUAUGGUGUAGCGGUGAAAUGCUUAGAGAUCAUACAGAACACCGAUUGCGAAGGCAGCUUACCAAUCUAUAUCUGACGUUGAGGCGCGAAAGCGUGGGGAGCAAACAGGAUUAGAUACCCGUGUAGUC
rnacentral:rRNA from 1 species